rnacentral:lncRNA from 1 species
UUUUUCUUACCAAGUCCGUUACGUUCUAGGCAGGCCCUUGUAUGCACAACGCGUGUCUUUUUUCAGUGCUUCGAUCCUCUUUUCUCUGCCCCUUAUAAUAUUCCUGAUCAACUUUUGUGGCUAUGUUCUGAAUGUGAUUCAUUUUGGUUGCAUGAUUUACGGGUUACUAUUUCAGGGGUUUGGUUAGAAGUGGAGUAGUGUGUUUUGGGUGAGAAUGGCUGAUCGUAACGUGGAGAAGCUAGCGUCUAUUGAUGCUCAUUUGAGGUCUCUGGUUCCU